rnacentral:lncRNA from 1 species
GUACUUGAUGGAUAGGAUAGAGUUGGUUGAGGCCUUGAGGCACCAAGAUGGAGAUUGUUGGGCCUUAUGUAAUGCUCCUAAUGUUGAAAAUUAUGUCCUAAAGUCAAUCGUUUGACGAUUGUGCUGAUUAUAAAUAUAUAUGAAUUGAUAAAUAAUAAAAAUUAUAUGGUAUUUUUCAUCACAAAGUUACAUCUUCUAACGAACUCCUAUAUUAUGAUGAAGUCCUUAAGACUACUUUGAUCGGUAA